GACAGAGGGUGCAAACGUUGCUCGGAAUCACUGGGCGUAAAGGGCGUGCAGGCGGACAUGCAAGUCAGGCGUGAAAUCCCUGGGCUCAACCCAGGAAUUGCACUUGAAACUGCAUGUCUUGAGUGUCGUAGAGGAAAGCGGAAUUCCUGGUGUAGAGGUGAAAUUCGUAGAUAUCAGGAGGAACACCGGUGGCGAAGGCGGCUUUCUGGACGACAACUGACGCUGAGACGCGAAAGCGUGGGGAGCAAACAGG
rnacentral:misc_RNA from 1 species